rnacentral:lncRNA from 1 species
UAUGUUUUCAUGAUAAAAUACUCAACUUGUGAUGUUUGAAACUUUGAUGUUCUUUUAGUUGAAUUUUUAAUGUAUGAUUACCUAUGGAUUAUUUUGAGAUACUAUCGAUAGAAAUUAUAAGUUGAGAAGAAUUUAUUUUGAUUAUGAGUUGAGGAUUUUGCUUGAGGACAAGUAAAUGCUUAAGUGUGGGGGUAUUUGAUAAACCUUAAUUUAUA